rnacentral:tRNA from 1 species
GGAGAGGUGGCCGAGCGGUUGAAGGCGCACGCUUGGAAAGCGUGUGUGCGGCUUAUACCCGUACCGCGGGUUCGAAUCCCGCUCUCUCCGCCA